UUACUACUCCCUCCGUCUGAAAAUACUUGUCAUCAAAAUGGAUAAAAAGAGAUGUAUCUAGAACUAAAAUACGUCUAGAUACAUCCCCUUUUAUCCAUUUUAAUGACAAGUAUUUUCGGACGGAGGGAGUACCUC
rnacentral:pre_miRNA from 1 species